rnacentral:lncRNA from 1 species
AUGGGUGAAAAGGCUGGAGGAGAAAGUCAUCGCUCCGUUAUUGGCCCUUGGACUCCCCUGGCGUCGCAUGUACAGCAUGAAGUUUUCAGCAAUGAAGUUUUCCAGAACGAGAACCAAGCCCUGAGGGAGGAGAACCAAGCCCUGAGGGAGGAGAACCAAGCCCUGAGGGAGGAGAACCAAGCCCUGAGGGAGGAGAACCAAGCCCUGAGGGAGGAGAACCAAGCCCUGAGGGAGGAGAACCAAGCCCUGAGGGAGGAGAACCAAGCCCUGAGGGAGGGGAGCCAUGCACGAGCAGCUUCGGGUGACAGCGGCUCGCUUCAAGAGCAGGUGAAGCUAUUUGGGACAAUGCUGAAGAUGUUUGCUCGCACUGGGCAAUCAGGUGCAGAUCAGACCCUAGUGCUGCGACGUCUUGGAGAGUUUGGCGAUGUUGUGCGUAGCAUGGAAAACAAAAUGGACACUAUGCUGCAACAUUUCAGUGCCAAUGUGUCUGUUGGAGAGCUAUCCCUGCCAGGGGAUGUUACUCCCCCUAGACACCCAGGAAGAUUUGGUGUUUCUUGACAGCAUUUUGAGGGAGGAUAAAGAUCUCCAGGAACGAUUUGUAAAAGUGUGUUGCUUUCGUUUAUAAGGCCGUAGGGUAAUCUAAAAAGUGAAAUUAAGUUUGUACACUGUAUAUUCUACAGUCUAAAUCCACAGCCUGUCACAUUUUAUAUUUAUGUAUGAGAAGCUUGCGAGAAAUGUAAUUUAACACAUUUUUGGAUUUUCAGCUUCGGUUUUUGGCUAUCAAAUGUGGGAGGGACCUGAAGACAACAGUGUGGAGAAUGCUUCAGAGUAUUUUCUCUAAUAACCUUGCCGUUAAUACAACCUGGACUGGCAUAGGGGAUAAAACCUGUUUUAGAGACCUGUUCCUGAAGACCAUUGUUCAAAGUAAUUUUUUUAAGUAGAUGCCCUUAUGCCUUAUGCCAUUCAAAUGUAAUGACAGAUCUGUAUUUUCUACAGGGGCCCUCCGGAAGAACCCGGCAACCCAGGAUGCCACUGAUGAGGCGGUCCAGGUUAACGUUACACGUUACCUGAAAGGAGCAUCAGAUUGUGAAGGAGGAAAAAGCCGCCCAGCUGAGAAGGACCCACAGCCAACCCCUUAAACCUAGGCUGACUACUGACACCCCAGCAUCCCUGAACUGGAACACUUUCUUUAUCCUGCAGUCAGUAACAUCAAGAAGCCAGAAGUGCCAGACUACACUCACCAAACCCACCCUGUUUUUUUUGUAUUAACUUUAGUAUUGGCUUAUUUCAUUCCAUCUUAACGAUUCUAUUUUAGUUUGUAAAUCCUAUUUCAUACCUGUUACUUGAUAUUGCGCAUUAACUAGUACCAACAUUCUACUUUCAUUUCAUCACUAUGCUUAACUGUUAUUCAAUUAAUAAUAGCUUGGAAAUACUAUUUCGUACCUCUGAUACUUGAUAUUGCACAGUACCUGGUACCAAAUAUUCUACUUACUCUGUUUUUAACAUCAGCAUUUUUCAUUCCAUCACAGUGCUUAACUGUUAUUCUAUUGUUAAAUAUAGCUUGUAAAUCCUUGUGCCACAGGUCAGCAUUGCAGUUAUAAUGGUCUGUUCUACUACUGUUUUUACCUCUGUAUUUUUAUAUAUGUAUAUCAAGUUUUGUUUAUCACAGAUACAAGAGAAACAUCUUAAUGCAGCAUGGUGUAAAUAUUGUGCUCCAGGUCAGCAAUGCCAUUAUAAUGGAAUAUUCUACUCUAGAGCUUUACUCAAUGGCUUGAAAAUGUGAUGUUCUACCUCGUUUUAUUUGGUAUCCUGCACAGUCUUUGGUACCAAAUAUCCUCAUUACUUGUUAUGUUUACUGGUAAUUAUUUUCAUCCCAGAGCUGACCUCUAUAUUAUUAACAAUGAUUGUGUUUGUGUUAUAAUUUGCUUGUAUGGCUGUUCUUUUUUUUUUAACCAACAUUUUAUUGGAAACCUGCAUGUUCUGUGUGUAUUUAUGCCUAUUAUUUAUUUCAGUGAUCUGACACAUCUUGUUUGAAU